AGCUUUAUAUUCAAUUAUGAUUUAAAAUUGCAAAUUUUAAGGUAUAGAAGAAAUAAACUAUUAAGGCUU
rnacentral:tRNA from 1 species